UCCCUAGUGGUCCAGUGGUUAGGACUCAGCACUUUUACUGCCACGGCCUGGGUUCAGUCCUUGGUUGGGGAA
rnacentral:tRNA from 1 species